rfam:Tumebacillus sp. AR23208, complete genome.
UCGUGCUAGACGGGGAGGUAGCGGUGCCCUGUAACCCGCAAUCCGCUAUAGCGGGGUUGAUGUCUGGCCGAGGGUCUUCGUUUGUGGAACGGUCGGUCGUAAGUGGUGUUGAGGAUCGGGUCCUGCGCGACCAAGCCUCCUGAACCGUGUCAGGUCCGGAAGGAAGCAGCACUAAGGGAAUCGCUUGUGUGUGCCGCAGGGGUGCCUGGUCUGAGCUAACUGCUGCCGACUCUUCAUCGGCGGGAUUCGAAGCCAGAUGCACGG